UACGAAGGGGGCAAGCGUUGUUCGGAAUUACUGGGCGUAAAGGGCUCGUAGGUGGCCAACUAAGUCAGACGUGAAAUCCCCAGGCUCAACUUGGGAACUGCGUCUGAUACUGGAUGGCUUGAAUUCGGGAGAGGGAUGCAGAAUUCCAGGUGUAGCGGUGAAAUGCGUAGAUAUCUGGAGGAAUACCGGUGGCGAAGGCGGCAUCCUGGACCGAGAUUGACACUGAUGAGCGAAAGCUAGGGGAGCAAACGGG
rnacentral:rRNA from 1 species